rnacentral:SRP_RNA from 2 species
UAUUGGUCCUCUCGCAACACUAGCAGGCGAACCUGGUCAGGCCCGGAAGGGAGCAGCCACA